UGGGGAAUUUUGGACAAUGGGGGAAACCCUGAUCCAGCCAUCCCGCGUGUGCGAUGAAGGCCUUCGGGUUGUAAAGCACUUUUGGCAGGAAAGAAACGUCGCGGGUUAAUACCCCGCGAAACUGACGGUACCUGCAGAAUAAGCACCGGCUAACUACGUGCCAGCAGCCGCGGUAAUACGUAGGGUGCAAGCGUUAAUCGGAAUUACUGGGCGUAAAGCGUGCGCAGGCGGUUCGGAAAGAAAGAUGUGAAAUCCCAGAGCUUAACUUUGGAACUGCAUUUUUAACUACCGGGCUAGAGUGUGUCAGAGGGAGGUGGAAUUCCGCGUGUAGCAGUGAAAUGCGUAGAUAUGCGGAGGAACACCGAUGGCGAAGGCAGCCUCCUGGGAUAACACUGACGCUCAUGCACGAAAGCGUGGGGAGCAAACAGGAUUAGAUACCCUGGUAGUCCACGCCCUAAACGAUGUCAACUAGCUGUUGGGGCCUUCGGCCUUGGUAGCGCAGCUAACGCGUGAAGUUGACCGCCUGGGGAGUACGGUCGCAAGAUUAAAACUUAAAUGAAUU
rnacentral:rRNA from 1 species